rnacentral:rRNA from 1 species
UACGUAGGGUGCAAGCGUUAAUCGGAAUUACUGGGUUUAAAGGGUACGUAGGUGGGCUUUUAAGUCAGUGGUGAAAUCCCGAAGCUUAACUUCGGAACUGCCAUUGAUACUAUUAGUCUUGAAUAUUUUGGAGGUCAGCGGAAUGUAUCAUGUAGCGGUGAAAUGCUUAGAUAUGAUAUAGAACACCGAUUGCGAAGGCAGCUGGCUACACAAUUAUUGACACUGAGGUACGAAAGCGUGGGGAGCGAACAGG